GAUGAACGCUGGCGGCGUGCCUAAUACAUGCAAGUCGAGCGAACAGACGAGGAGCUUGCUCCUCUGACGUUAGCGGCGGACGGGUGAGUAACACGUGGAUAACCUACCUAUAAGACUGGGAUAACUUCGGGAAACCGGAGCUGAUACCGGAUAAUAUAUUGAACCGCAUGGUUCAAUAGUGAAAGACGGUUUUGCUGUCACUUAUAGAUGGAUCCGCGCCGCAUUAGCUAGUUGGUAAGGUAACGGCUUACCAAGGCAACGAUGCGUAGCCGACCUGAGAGGGUGAUAGGCCACACUGAAAAUGAGACACGGUCAAGACUCCUACGGGAGGAAGCAGUAGGGAAUCUUCCGCAAUGGGCGAAAGCCUGACGGAGCAACGCCGCGGGAGUGAUGAAGGUCUUCGGAUCGUAAAACUAUGUUAUUAGGGAAGAACAAAUGUGUAAGUAACUAUGCACGUCUUGACGGUACCUAAUCAGAAAGCCACGGAUAACUACGUG
rnacentral:rRNA from 1 species